GAUGAACGCUGGCGGCGUGCUUAACACAUGCAAGUCGAACGGAAAGGCCAGUGCUUGCCCUGGUACUCGAGUGGCGAACGGGUGAGUAACACGUGGGUGAUCUGCCCUGCACUUCGGGAUAAGCCUGGGAAACUGGGUCUAAUACCGGAUAGGACAAUGGUUUGGAUGCCGUUGUGGAAAGUUUUUUCGGUGUGGGAUGAGCUCGCGGCCUAUCAGCUUGUUGGUGGGGUAAUGGCCUACCAAGGCGUCGACGGGUAGCCGGCCUGAGAGGGUGUACGGGGACAUUGGGACUGAGAUACGGCCCAGACUCCUACGGGAGGCAGCAGGGGGGAAUAUUGCACAAUGGGCGCAAGCCUGAUGCAGCGACGCCGCGUGGGGGAUGACGGCCUUCGGGUUGUAAACUCCUUUCGCUAGGGACGAAGCGUAUUUGUGACGGUACCUGGAGAAGAAGCACCGGCUAACUACGUG
rnacentral:rRNA from 1 species